rnacentral:misc_RNA from 1 species
AACGCACCUUGCGCUCCUUGGUAUUCCGAGGAGCAUGCCUGUUUGAGUGUCAUUAAAUUCUCAACUAUCCCAGUUUUUUUUUUGUAAACCUGGAUGGUUUGGAUCAUGGGAUUUGCGGGCUUUUCUAAGUCGGCUUUCCUUAAAUGCAUUAGCAGAGCUUUUGCCGCUAGCUAUUGGUGUGAUAGUUAUCGACGCUAUUAGUGAGCCGCAUGAAUGGAGCUUCGCUUCUAAUCGUCUUUACAGACAACUUUGACAAUCUGACCUCAAAUCAGGUAGGACUACCCGCUGAACUUAA